ACCCUCAGUCCAUGUGUUUGGAAAACACAAGUCCAGGCAUGUCUAGGUGGGCAUUGCUGAGUCUCCAGGCAAGGUUGAGCAAUUCCCCUGGUGUGGCCUCAUGCGGGUAAGUCAUUGAAUUGUAGUUCCUUUGCUGAAUAAUGGCUGGUGGUGUCUGUAUAACAG